rnacentral:rRNA from 1 species
GAUGAACGCUGGCGGCGUGCCUAAUACAUGCAAGUCGAGCGAACAGACGAGGAGCUUGCUCCUUCGACGUUAGCGGCGGACGGGUGAGUAACACGUAGGUAACCUACCUAUAAGACUGGGAUAACUUCGGGAAACCGGAGCUAAUACCGGAUAAUAUUUCGAACCGCAUGGUUCGAUAGUGAAAGAUGGCUUUGCUAUCACUUAUAGAUGGACCUGCGCCGUAUUAGCUAGUUGGUAAGGUAACGGCUUACCAAGGCAACGAUACGUAGCCGACCUGAGAGGGGGAUCGGCCACACUGGAACUGAGACACGGUCCAGACUCCUACGGGAGGCAGCAGUAGGGAAUCUUCCGCAAUGGGCGAAAGCCUGACGGAGCAACGCCGCGUGAGUGAUGAAGGUCUUCGGAUCGUAAAACUCUGUUAUUAGGGAAGGACAAACGUGUAAGUAACUGUGCACGUCUUGACGGUACCUAAUCAGAAAGCCACGGCUAACUACGUG